ACACACACACACACACACACACACACACACACACACACACACACACUUAAAACAAUGAUGUCUCUUAUUCUAAUGCUGUGGACACUCGGUCUGCUCGCUCAAGUGUCUCAUCAAGAGGUUCAGUCUCCUGAGUCUGUGAUUGUUAAAGCAGGAGAGUCAGUCUCUAUGAGCUGCACUGGGACCAGCGGAGUUGGUGCUGACAUGAGCUGGUAUCUGCUGAAACCUGGAGAAGCUCCUAAACUCCUGAUCUAUAGAGCAAGUGAACUUGAAUCUGGAGUCCCAGAUCGCUUCAGUGGAAGUGGAAAUGAACCUGAUUUUACACUGAAUAUUCGUGGAGUCCAGCCUGAGGAUGCAGGAGUUUAUUACUGUAUGGGGUAUUACGGUAGCAGGUUCACACAGUGAAACAACAUCAUACAAAAACCUCCCUCAGUUACAGUUGCCUUGUACAACAGUUGAACAAAAGGACAUGAACAAUUAAAGCCGUAGGCCUAAUGGAGAUUUUCAACAGUUUGUUCACUUUAGUUUGUAAUUUUUCAGAUUUUACAGGAAAUUAAUAUAAGUAAAAUUUUGAGUUUA